rnacentral:misc_RNA from 1 species
GAAAUGCGAUAAGUAAUGUGAAUUGCAGAAUUCAGUGAAUCAUCGAAUCUUUGAACGCAUCUUGCGCUCCUUGGUAUUCCUUGGAGCAUGCCUGUUUGAGUAUCAUGAAAUCUUCAAAGUAAAUCUUUUGUUAACUCAAUUGGUUUCUACUUUGGUAUUGGAGGUCUUUGCAGCUUCACACCUGCUCCUCUUUGUUCAUUAGCUGGAUCUCGGUGUUAUGCUUGGUUCCACUCGGCGUGAUAAGUUAUCUAUCGCUGAGGACACUGUAAAAGGUGGCCAAGGUAAAUGCAGAUGAACCGCUUCUAAUAGUCCAUUGACUUGGACAAUACUUUUAUGAUCUGAUCUCAAAUCAGGUAGGACUACCCGCUGAACUUAAGC